rnacentral:lncRNA from 1 species
GAGGUUGCAAUCAGAUCGGAUCAAAUCGACGAGAGUCGGAUCAAAAUAUCAUCACUUUAAAUCUAAUUUAUAUAUUAAAUAAGUUAAAAAUUUGAAUCUAAAUAUUAUCUAUUUAUUAAAUAAAUAAUUUGAUUCGAUUUAAUUAACUCAUUUAUUAAAUAAAUUAAGUUAGAUUAGAUGAAUUAAAUAGGCUAAAUAG